rnacentral:misc_RNA from 1 species
GAUGAAGAACGUAGCGAAAUGCGAUACGUAAUGUGAAUUGCAGAAUUCAGUGAAUCAUCGAGUCUUUGAACGCACAUUGCGCCCCCUGGUAUUCCGGGGGGCAUGCCUGUCCGAGCGUCAUUGCUGCCCUCAAGCACGGCUUGUGUGUUGGGCCUCCGUCCUCCUCCCGGGGGACGGGCCCGAAAGGCAGCGGCGGCACCGCGUCCGGUCCUCGAGCGUCUGGGGCUUCGUCACCCGCUCUUGUAGGCCCGGCCGGCGCUUGCCGACACAUCAAUCUUUUUUCCAGGUUGACCUCGGAUCAGGUAGGGAUACCCGCUGAACUUAAGCAUAUCAAUAAGCGGAGGA